CAAACAUAACUCUGGGAGGACCUUCUCUGACGCAAUCUAUCAGUAUCCUUCUUGGCCACAGUCAAGAUCGUAUUUAGAAGGAGGCAUGUGAUAGGAGCCAGAUUGGGAACUCUGGAGGUCCACAGUAGCCUAGAAACAGAAAGUGUUGCUAGCAGAUUUGCUGUGACAAAUAAAAGCUACAUGCAGAGGAUUCCAUCCUGCUGAAGUGUACGACUCACUCUACCAGCUUUAAAUAAAGUGUGAUGAUUUCAAAUUUA